rnacentral:rRNA from 1 species
UACGUAGGGGGCAAGCGUUGUUCGGAAUUACUGGGCGUAAAGGGCGCGUAGGCGGCACGGCAAGUCAGGAGUGAAAGCCCUGGGCUCAACCCGGGAACUGCUUUUGAAACUGCCGAGCUAGAGUGCGGAAGGGGCAACUGGAAUUCCCAGUGUAGCGGUGAAAUGCGUAGAUAUUGGGAAGAACACCUGAGGCGAAGGCGGGUUGCUGGGCCGACACUGGACGCUGAGGCGCGAAAGCCAGGGGAGCGAACGGG